AGCAGCCGCGGUAAUUCCAGCUCCAAUAGCGUAUAUUAAAGUUGUUGCAGUUAAAAAGCUCGUAGUUGAAUUUCGGGGUUAGUAGGUUGGUCAUGCCUCUGGUAUGUACUGGUCUCACUGAUUCCUCCUUCCUGAUGAACCUUAAUGCCAUUAAUUUGGUGUUUUGGGGAAUUUGGACUGUUACUUUGAAAAAAUUAGAGUGUUUAAAGCAAGCUAACGCUUGAAUACAUUAGCAUGGAAUAAUGAAAUAGGACGCUCGAUCCUAUUUUGUUGGUUUCUAGGAUUGACGUAAUGAUUAAUAGGGAUAGUUGGGGGCAUUAGUAUUCAAUUGUCAGAGGUGAAAUUCUUGGAUUUAUUGAAGACUAACUACUGCGAAAGCAUUUGCCAAGGAUGUUUUCAUUAAUCAAGAACGAAAGUUAGGGGAUCGAAGACGAUCAGAUACCGUCGUAGUCUUAACCAUAAACUAUGCCGACCAGGGAUCGGAUGAUGUUAAUUUUUUAAUGACUCA
rnacentral:rRNA from 1 species